GGGUGAUUAGCUCAGUUGGUUAGAGCGCCACCUUUACACGGUGGAUGUCGGGGGUUCGAGUCCCUCAUCACCCACGA
rnacentral:tRNA from 2 species